CACCUCCGACGGGGACGAAACGGAUGUCUUUGCCCUGGCUGCAACCAGGGUGAUCUGGGAGACUCUGCAGUUGUUCCAGUUCCCAGAGUCAUUGACAGAGUACUCCCCCUGUCUCCUCGUGGCUCUGCUCUUCCAAGUUCUCAUCAGCACAGAGCAGACGCCAGAGGAGGUCGACACCUUCUGGAGGGGAUGCCGGCAGCAACACAACCUUCCCACCCAGCCCAACAGGUUUGCAGUGCUGACAAUGAAGGCUCUGCUUUGCCAUCUGGAGUGUGAGGAAGUUGUGGUUUCAAUGGAACGC